CCUACGGGUGGCAGCAGUGAGGAAUAUUGGUCAAUGGGCGAGAGCCUGAACCAGCCAAGUCGCGUGAGGGAAGACGGUCCUAUGGAUUGUAAACCUCUUUUGUCGGGGAGCAAAAAGGCCUCGUGAGGCCACAAGUGAGAGUACCCGAAGAAAAAGCAUCGGCUAACUCCGUGCCAGCAGCCGCGGUAAUACGGAGGAUGCGAGCUUUAUCCGGAUUUAUUGGGUUUAAAGGGUGCGCAGGCGGAAGAUCAAGUCAGCGGUAAAAUUGAGAGGCUCAACCUCGUCGAGCCGUUGAAACUGGUUUUCUUGAGUGAGUGAGAAGUAUGCGGAAGGCGUGGUGUAGCGGUGAAAUGCAUAGAUAUCACGCAGAACUCCGAUUGCGAAGGCAGCUUACCAAGCUACUUCUGACGUUGAGGCACGAAAGCGUGGGGAGCAAACAGGAUUAGAUACCCGGGUAGGC
rnacentral:rRNA from 1 species